rnacentral:rRNA from 1 species
GCGAAUCGCCCUUCGGGGCGCACCAGGCGCGAAAACUUUACAAUGCGGGAAACCGUGAUAAGGGGACACCGAGUGCCGGGUUAAUAUGCUGGCUGUCCAGGUGUGUAAAAUACACCUGUUAGCAAGGGCCGGGCAAGACCGGUGCCAGCCGCCGCGGUAACACCGGCGGCUCGAGUGGUGAUCGUUAUUAUUGGGUCUAAAGGGUCCGUAGCCGGUUUGGUCAGUCCUCCGGGAAAUCUGACGGCUCAACCGCUAGGCUUUCGGGAGAUACUGCCUGGCUUGAAACCGGGAGAGGUAAGAGGUACUUCAGGGGUAGGAGUGAAAUCUUGUAAUCCCUGUGAGACCACCUGUGGCGAAGGCGUCUUACCAGAACGGGUUUGACGGUCAGGGACGAAAGCUGGGGGCACGAACCGGAUUAGAUACCCGGGUAGUCCCAGCCGUAAACGAUGCUCGCUAGGUGUCAGGCAUGGUGCGACCGUGUCUGGUGCCGCAGGGAAGCCGUGAAGCGAGCCACCUGGGAAGUACGGCCGCAAGGCUGAAACUUAAAGGAAUUGGCGGGGGAGCAC